rnacentral:rRNA from 1 species
GAGGGUUUUAUUAAAAAAUUUUGAAUUUAAAUUAAAAGUAAAAAUGCUUUUAUUAUUUCCUAGGACGAGAAGACCCUAGAAGCUUUAAUAAGUAUAAACUUUUUAAUUGGGGCAAUUUAUGAAGAAAAGUAUUUUUAAUACUAAUAUUUAUAUAUAAUAUAUAUAUAUAUAUAUAUAAAGUUAAUUAAUUUAAUAGAAGUUACUCUAGGGAUAACAGCGUUAUUUAGUUAACAAGUUCUUAUUAAUAAUUAAGUUUGCGACCUCGAUGUUGAAUUAAUAAUCAUUUUUGGUGAAGAAGCUAAAAGUUUUUAGUCUGUUCGACUAUUAAAAUAUUACGUGAUCUGAG